rnacentral:misc_RNA from 1 species
AAGAGAGUGGGUCUGGCUCAGGAAUUGAGCGUAGGUGAUAGAAUGGCUUGUGUUGGCAUUGACAAGAAAAGUAUCGGCGGGGGGGGUGGGGGGGGGAGAGGUGGGAAGAGAGAAAAACAANAGAAGAGAGAAAACCAACUGGGUAAUGGAAAGAGGCUCAUUUGGUGGUGGCAGAGGGGUGUAGGGUCUCAGGCUGUGAAAGGUUCUAGUUUCUUUACAAAAACCAGUGUUGGGAUCAAUGGAGUGGGUGCUAUUGGGACAACUGGCAGUAGGUUCCGGCGCUUUUGCCGCCAUUGAUAAGUUGAAAAGAAGAGAAAAAUAACCUGUGGUGACAGUGAGGAUAAUGC